GUUGUAUGGUUAAGUGACUAAGCGUACACGGUGGAUGCCUGGGCAGUCAGAGGCGAUGAAGGACGUACUAACUUGCGAUAAGCGUAGAUGAGGCAGUAAGAGCCACUUGAGUCUACGAUUUCCGAAUGGGGAAACCCAACUGCAUAAGCAGUUAUCUCAAUGUGAAUUCAUAGCAUUGUGAGGCGAACCGGGGGAACUGAAACAUCUAAGUACCCCGAGGAAGAGAAAUCAACCGAGAUUCCGGCAGUAGCGGCGAGCGAAACCGGAUUAGCCCUUAAGCUAAUCUUGCGUUAGGUGAACAUGCUGGAAAGCAUGGCAAUAAAGGGUGAUAGCCCCGUAACCAACAGCGCAUUAUCAGUGAAAUCGAGUAGGACGGGACACGUGUUAUCCUGUCUGAAUAUGGGGGGGACCAUCCUCCAAGGCUAAAUACUCCUGACUGACCGAUAGUGAACCAGUACCGUGAGGGAAAGGCGAAAAGUACCCCUGUGAGGGGAGUGAAAUAGAACCUGAAACCGUGUACGUACAAGCAGUAGGAGCAGGCUUGUCCUGUGACUGCGUACCUUUUGUAUAAUGGGUCAGCGACUUAAUUUUAGUAGCAAGGUUAACCAUCUAGGGGAGCCGUAGGGAAACCGAGUCUUAACUGGGCGUCAUAGUUGCUAGGAUUAGACCCGAAACCGAGUGAUCUAGCCAUGGGCAGGUUGAAGAUUGAGUAACAUCAAUUGGAGGACCGAACCGACUAAUGUUGAAAAAUUAGCGGAUGACUUGUGGCUAGGGGUGAAAGGCCAAUCAAACUCGGAGAUAGCUGGUUCUCCCCGAAAGCUAUUUAGGUAGCGCCUCGGACGAAUAC
rnacentral:rRNA from 1 species